rnacentral:rRNA from 1 species
CUCCAGACUCCUACGGGAGGCAGCAGUGGGGAAUAUUGCACAAUGGGGGAAACCCUGAUGCAGCGACGCCGCGUGAGCGAUGAAGUAUUUCGGUAUGUAAAGCUCUAUCAGCAGGGAAGAAGAUGACGGUACCUGACUAAGAAGCCCCGGCUAACUACGUGCCAGCAGCCGCGGUAAUACGUAGGGGGCAAGCGUUAUCCGGAUUUACUGGGUGUAAAGGGAGCGUAGACGGCGAUGCAAGCCAGAUGUGAAAGCCCGGGGCUCAACCCCGGGACUGCAUUUGGAACUGUGUGGCUGGAGUGUCGGAGAGGCAGGCGGAAUUCCUAGUGUAGCGGUGAAAUGCGUAGAUAUUAGGAGGAACACCAGUGGCGAAGGCGGCCUGCUGGACGAUGACUGACGUUGAGGCUCGAAAGCGUGGGGAGCAAACAGGAUUAGAUACCCUUGUA